CUGUUAAGAAUAUUGUCAGCCAAGUGGCAAAGCGAACUCUGACAAUGGGUGCUAAUGGAGAACUGCAUCCUUCACGGUUUUGUGAGAAGGAUUUGCUCAGAGUGGUGGACCGCGAAUACGCCUUUGCCUAUGUGGAUGACCCUUGCAGCGCUACCUAUCCAUUAAUGCAAAAGUUAAGGCAAGUGCUCGUGGAUCAUGCGUUGAAGAAUGGUGAUCAGGAGAAGAACGUCAACACCUCCAUCUUCCAAAAGAUUGCUGCAUUUGAAGAUGAACUGAAGGCUGUCCUACCAAAAGAAGUGGAGAGUGCCAGAAGCGCUGUGGAGAGUGGAAAUCCAGCAAUCCCUAAUCGGAUAAGGGAGUGCAGAUCUUACCCAUUGUACAAGUUCGUUCGAGAAGUGUUGGGGACAGGACUGCUGACUGGAGAGAAAGCUCAGUCACCUGGUGAGGUGUUCGACCAGGUGUUCACAGCAAUGAGCAAGGGGCAGAUUGUAGAUCCUUUGUUGGAAUGUCUCCAAGAAUGGAAUGGUGCUCCUCUCCCAAUCUGUUGAUUUACUUUCAUCCAUUCAAACAUUUGUUUAUCAAAUCCUUCAAUGUAAUUUAUAUGUAUUUUAAAUUCAAUGAUAUGUCAGUAACACCCAUGUAUUGCUCAAGGUUUCUUAAAAUGUGAACAAAAAUUUCAACAUCGUCCCUGUUCUCCAUUUAAUGAGUUGAUUGAUUUUCGGCUAGCUGAUUGCCAAUGAAGGCAAUCCUACAUUACAUCCAUUUUCUGAGAGAGCUGUGAACGAAGGUGGCCAGACUACUAAUUUAGUAGUUUUAGAACCAUGCUUAAUACAGUUAAAACUAUAUUAAGGAUGGUUAGUAGCUAAGAAAUUGCAAAAUCAGGCAUGCAAUUACAGUACCUUUUUCAGACUGAUUACGAGACUGGCUGCUAUUACUUGAGGAUGUAAAAUAGCUUGCAGCUUUCUUGUUGAAGCGUUUGAAGAUGCAAAAUUGAAAGCUUAGACCCAUACCCUCCUCAUCUUGGUUCAAAGGCGUGAUCACGUGGAAACUAUUUUGAUCCCAACUUUAUUAGCUUUCCGGUACAUAAUACUGAAAGCCUAAAAACCACCGGAGGAGGAACCACUGAACUGUCAUUUGGUCUCUGGAAAGGCACCGAAACGAGAGGCUUUAAACGCGGCGUUUUUUAUACUCCCUCCGUCCCACUUUGAUAGUCCUAUUUUCCUUUUUCGUCUGUCCCAAAUUAUAGUCCACUUUCCAAUUGAAAAAUGUAGUUAUAUUUUAAUUUUCCUAAAAUACCUUUAUUCAAUGUAAGUUAUUGUUACUAUAAACUUACCACGUUUAAUGCAUUUAGAUUUUCCAAACUUAUUUAUAUCAGGAGGGAAACAAACUAUGUCAUCAUUAGCUACAAACCAUGAGUGAACAUUUUCAAAACUAUCCAUAUUUCCACAAUUUUUCUAACGAAAUUCCAACAAAAGAAUAUGAUUUCAAAUUCUCAUAAAGUUGUACUCUAAUUAAUGUGAAAGUAUUUUAGAAAAAUAGCUACCUAAAUUGAUUGUUGCAACAAAGUUAACUACUUUUUCUUAAAUUGAGUGAAAAAAAAAAUCAAGACUAUCAAAGUGGGACGGAGGGAGUAUUAUUUAUGGCUCCAAUCUCUGGAAAUUGUAAACCAACUACUGACCAAAAAAUAAAGGAUUCUGUACAAAUUGUUAACCAAAAGUUGACCUCAAAAAAAAAAUUCUAGUAUCAAUUGUUAUAAAACUAGUUAUAAAACUCGGUCAAUUGUUAUUUGUUCGCUUAGAAUUUUUUUUUUAGAAGAAAAAGAGUUUUCAUUGCUUUAAGUCGACUACAGCAGCGUACAGGACUUCCUUCGGAAAAUUUGCAAACGAAAUAUAACUCCCCUCAAUGGAUAAAGAUUAACUUAAGACAUGAGAUGAGCAGGGACGUUAUUAUUGCUCUUUAUAUGGGACACCUUUACAUACUCAAAUUCCAAAAUGAAUGGAAGACACCAAAAUUCUUAGCAAACUGUAAACGCUUUUAGGAAGGUUAAAGCAUUCCACCUACCCAGGAUUGAGAGCUCGGGGAAUCUCCUCAACCAUUGUUGCCUGAGCCUCUACUUGUUCCCAUUGGUUCCUUACUACAAAACAUAUUCCAAUUACAGCUUCGAAAAAUGUACCAUACAUAUUGAUCUUGUCAAUGCUCUCCUCAUGCGCUAACCAUCUGUUAUGCCUUCAAUCUUCCUGACCUUCUCUCUGCCACGUAGAUUCCAAUACCACCUCUGCUUAUGCACUAAUUUGUGCUGCUGGUUCCUCGGCUUUUUCUUCAAAGGUCCUCUCAAUUCUGCAUUUCCAGAUAAGCCAUGUGAUUACUGCUGCUAAUUCUGCUAACUGCUCCCCCCUUUGAGUAGAGUAUGUAGGCAAACCACUCCUUGAAACUGGACACAGAUGAGAUGUUUGCAAUCUGCUUACCUUCUACACCCUUCCAUGCUCCCUGGCCAAAUUCGCAAUCAAAGAAAUGUGUUUUAUCAUUCAUUCACACCGAUUGCAUCUUGUCACUGCUCUUUGAAGAGGUGAAUUCUGUACCGCUGGAGUAAACCUUCUGAGUACUCUGGGUGGUCCACUGGGACGAGGUCACCUGCUCAAGUUACUAGAGGGGCUGAAUCCCCCGGUAGAACUCCGAAGCUUAAGUCAGUUCGGGAAUGAGAGAAUAUGUGAAUUGAAGAGAGUAUCAGUAUGUCUUUACCAGAUAAUUGGUCAUCAUCCCCCUUCUCAGUGGAUACCCAGGGGUAUUUAUAGGGGAUUUGUUAGGAAGAGGGACUGGCAUCACGGGUCCCUAAAGAUCUGAGACGGUCAGUGCAUCUGGUGGAUUGGACAGCUCUUUACGAAAAGGUUCGAUGGGACAUCCGCCAGUUUCAGGCGGCGUGUGUCAGAGUAGCUGUCCAUCAGAUGUCAAGCGUAUCAACUGUCAGUUCCCAUCUUUCGUAGGCGUCCAUCAAUCAGGUGUCACCUCGGCUAAUGACCUGAAGACUUAGGCCGAAGUGGUACACAGGCUUUGACGUCCUCGAUGAGCAAGGUGCCGAGGUGGGACCUCGGGAGGAAUCAGAGUACGAGGCUCGGGUUAUCCGAGCCGAAAUGACCAUCCUCACUAAGCCCCCCAAGCUUCGAGAAGGGCGAGGUCGUGGUUUCCCGAGGUUGUUCCUUCCCGAAGCUGACGAGCGUGUAAACACGCAACAGUAAGGGCACGUCAUCUAUAUGGAUGGGACUAAUAGAAAGGUGAAACGAUGGCUGUCAGUUUUGACGUCGGAUCCGUAAAAUCAGCCGUCAGAUGAACAGCAUCUUCAUUAAUGAGGAGAGAGAGUGGGCGCUCUAGGGAAUCCCAAAGGUGCCGUCUCUUCGGUUUCCCCCAAUUGCCUAUAAAUAGGGGCCCUUUUUACCGUUUCAUUUUUCAGCAAAAAUUGUAAAUCACCUCAGAGCUCUGUUCCUGCGCUUCUUCACUUCGGCAAUUUUCCAAACAGCUUCAAAGUAAGUCCACUUCAUUCUUCUUUGUAGUAAUGGCCAGAACGGGCCGCACACACAAGGAAACGGUGAGGCCUGACUUUACCGAGGCAGAGAGGCCUGACCCCACCGAGGAGAGAACUGCUGACGUCGGGGAUGGGGGUGCCGAGGCGUCUCACCAAGCCGGGGCAGUUCAAGGGCAGCAGGAUGCCGAGGCGGAGCAGCAAGAGGAAAUCGAGGUCGAACCCGAGAUCCUGUAUAAUGAUGACCUCGGUAAUGAGGUCCCUAAGGACGCAGGCGUACAAGAACCAUCCACCCUUCCAAACGUGUCGACGCUCAACUACGGACAGAUGCCUGCCUUCCGCAGUAUCAUGGGGCGAGACUCUGUCGCCGAGGUGGUCCGCAGGUAUCCCUGGAGGAAGGACUACAGCAUUUAUAUACCCGAGCCACACCAGUCUGCUGCACUGCCCCCGAAGGGUAGGGUGGCCAUCUAUGUAGAACAGCUGGAGGCCGGGCUCAGGGUGCCCACGACAAGAUUCCUCCGAGACUGCCUGAGGUACUGGGGAGUGAGAAUCACUCAGCUCACCCCAGAUGCCAUUCGCGUCCUCGUCGGCUUCCAGCUGCUUUGCCGACAUCAAGAGAUAGAGCCCACUGUCAAUCUCUUCCGCCGUUGCUACUCGCUCAAAAACAGCGGGAGUGAAAAGGGCUGGUUCUACUUCGGGAACAAAGUUCCCAAAUUAGUAGUGGACGCUCCGAGCUCAAUAAAGGAGUGAAAAAGAAAUUUCUUUUUCAUCCCGGCCGAGGACUUCCCCAGGGGGUUCUGGUGGAGGCCUCCCACCCCGGUUAAAGAGACGUCUCCAGGCAAAUUGGAAGAGCGCAACCUCCAAAAGUUGACGGGGUCGGGCCUCAGAAUUAACUGCUGGGAUUUUCCCGAAGUGGUACUCGUGAAAGGCGGCCUCAGCCGAGCCUUGAUCAGCUCGAAUCACCCCGUCCUCCUUUCGACUAGGCUGAAAAGACCUUGUACUUUUACAUUUCCCUUCUUUAUAUAUUCAUGUUGAGUUCUAACUAACUCUCUCACUUACUGCAGUGACAAAGAUUUCCGACCUGAUAACCUCGGGAGAUGUCGAGGUAGCAAAGAGGGCACCCAAGAAGCGCAAGGAUGCGGCUGAGCCCUCUACCAGGCCAAGUAAGAAGACCACCACGGCAACGCAGAAGUCCACCGCGGCAAUGAGCAGCCGCGAGCCUGCCGUGAUGAUUGUAGGUGAAGGCUCACACAUCUCGGCCACGCCUGGGAAGUCCAAGGCCUCUGCCAUCCCGGUAGGGAUUCCUAUCCGAGGUGUGACGAUAGCCAAUCCACCUCGAGGUCAAGGCGUGACCGUGAUCCCGGAGAAACCUGUCACGGGGUCAUCACUGUUCAACCUCCAUCACGUACCCUCGAAGGAGGCCGGGGAUGACAAGAGGCACCCCGGGGCGCACUGGUGCCCGGAGUGGGACAUCAAUGUCAACGACCGCUGCAAAAAUCCUUUGGUCGCACACGAGCUUCUGGUGCACUCCGUGCUGCCUAGGGAUAAUACCUAUGCGAGGAAGCUCACUCCUGCCGAGCUGAUGCAGAGCGCCUCGGUCUCCUGGGCCUCUACCUCGGCUUUCUUUGCCGAGAUGCUCCAGCGUUAUGGACAUUUCAUGCAGACUUACGAGCCACCCGCCGAGCUUCAGAAAAGGAUCACCGAUCUGGAAGAGAAGCUAAGGGCCACUGAGCUGGAGCGAGACAAGGCCGAGAAGGGAAGGAAGAAGGCCGAAGUCGCCAACAACUCCCUGAUCACUGCCCUUGAUGAAGAGAAAGGAAGAAGGGCCCAGGAAGAGCAGUCGAACAAAGAGGCUAUGGACAAAGCCGGAGUCACUGCUGUGGAGGCCUUCCGGAAGUCGGAGUCCUUCACUCGCGACCUCGGCGAACUCACACGCCCAUCCUUUAUGCUUGGCUACACUUCGGCUGUCAAUGAUGCAAUGCCCUUUAUCUCUUUUGAGCAGCUGGAGUCCCUUCAAAGCGCUUCUCACUACAAUGAAGAUGCCAAGGAGCUGUGCGACCGUAUGGCCGCAGGCAUCCAGGCCGGGAGAGACUUAGCCGAGAUUCGAGCUGAGUUCAACAAAUGGCUCCAGGAAUUUGAACUAGAUGGCGAGGGUAGUGAAGGGGGUCAGUCCGGCGACAGGGCUAGUGGGCACCAGGAUGCCGAGGCAGGUGGAGCCGAAGCGGGUGGAGCCGAAGCGGGUGGAGAAACCAUAGGGGAGCAAGGCUCCGGGGCAGGGAAUGCUUAGAAACAUCCCUUUUUUGUUUUUGUAGGCCGAGGUCAUAGAUGACCUCACAGGGAAUGCUUAGAAGCACCCCUUUUUUGUACUUGUAGGCGUGACCUCGGUCUUCUACUUUUUAUCUGCUUCAAUUCAAUAGACUUCCAUGUUUUUGCAAUCUUCAUACUUCAGUUCAGUUUUGUUUUCUUUACUGCUGCUUUGUCCCCUUAUUUUUCACUUAUAACGAAACAAGAAGAAGUGAAAAAUAACUCAAGACUUAAAAUUAAAAACACGUACCCCUCAAGGGUAAUACAGUUUAAGAUUUUCGGCAUGCCAAGUUCGGGGCACCCGAGACCCAUCUCGGUACGCUAAUUUACAGUAUCCAUUUUGGCUGGAUUCGACAACGCGAUAGGGUCCCUCCCACUUAGGAUUCAGUUUGCCCUGAGGUUCAGCUCGGCUGACCGAGUUCUUCCGGAGCACGAGGUCUCCUGGGGUGAACCGUAGGUGUUUGACCCGAGUAUUGUAGUAACCAGCUAGGAUAUUUUUGUAGAUAGCAACUUUGGCCGCGGCCAUAUCACGUUUCUCCUCGGCGAGGUCGAGGUCAACCCGCCGUUCCUCUCCGUUGACUUCGGCAGCAUACGCGGCCAUCCGUGGGCUCGGCGUUAUGAACUCGGCUGGGACCACAGCUUCUGACCCAUACGUCAAAGAGAACGGGGUCUCUUGGGUUGCCGACCUCGGGGUGGUCCUGUAAGACCACAGGACGCUGGGGAGUUCUUCUACCCAUGACGAUCCAGCUCGGUGUAAUCUGGUUUUGAGGCAGUGGAGGAGAGUGCGGUUAAAAUUUUCGGCCUGUCCAUUGGCCUGAGGGUGUCCUACGGAGGUAAAAUGUUGUUUGAUUCCCAGGUUUUGACACCAUAUCUUGAAAGGGUUGUCAGCAAACUGUCUUCCAUUAUCCGAGAUGACCACCCGGGGUAGGCCGAAGCGGCAAACGACGCUCUUCCAGAAGAAUUUUUGAACUGCUGAUCCAGUGAUGCUCCUUAAAGGCUCAGCCUCAACCCAUUUGGUGAAGUAGUCUACCGCCACCACCGCGUAUGCAAAAUUGCCUUGGGCCCUGGGAAAUGGUCCGAUUAUAUCAGUCCCCCACUGUUCGAAUGGGCAUGGCGAAGUGAUGGGGAUCAUAAGAUUGGUUGGCUGGUGAUGCUCUGGGGCAUGAUGCUGACAAGAAGGACAGCUAAGGACCAUGACCUGGGCAUCCACCCUCAUGGUAGGCCAGAAAUAUCCGAGCAGCAAAGCUUUUUUAACGAGCAUCCUGUAGCCGACGUGAGCACCACAAAGUCCUUCAUGAAUGUCUUGCAGGAUCUUCUCCCCUUCUUCCGGAGUGAUACAUCGCAGCCAUGGGCCGAGGUAUGACCUCUUGUACAGGAGAUCGUCCCGAAGAGCGUACCGAGCUGUUUUUCGUUGCAGUUUCCGGGACUCGGCUCGGUCUUCAGGAAGUUCACCCCGGCUGAGAAAUCGGAAUAGCGGUCCCAUCCAGGUGUCCCCUGGAUAAAUGGGACAUACAACUUCCCCCACAUAUCCUGGCUCGGCCAAGACCUUCACAAGAACUGUCUUGUUCAGGUCAGAGAAGGAGGUAGAAGCGAGCCGAGAGAGGGCAUCUGCCCUCCUGUUCUGUGACCGCGGUAUUCUUUGGAUUUCAAAGGAUUCGAAGUAUGCCACCAGCUGGAGGACUUUGGAGAGGUAGCGAUGCAUCACCUCUUUCCUAGUCUCGUAUUCGCCUAGUAUUUGGCACACAACGAGUUGGGAGUCACUAUAGGCCAAGAUGUGCGCGGCCCCUAGCUUACGAGCUAGUUGCAGGCCGGCAAUAACAGCUUCGUACUCAGCCUCAUUGUUGGAAGCGGCGAAGUCAAAUCUCAAAGCGUAUGAACAUAUUUCUCCUUGGGGGUCUUCGAGGAGCAAACCUGCUCCACUAUCCCCACUGUUAGACGAGCCAUCCACAUGUAGAAUCCAUCGCUGAGGCUCGGCAGUAGGAGAAGUGUUAGCCGAGGUACUGUCCUUCACCUCAUCAAAGGUGAACUCGGCUAGAAAGUCUGCGAGGGCCUGAGCCUUGAUUGUUGUACGAGACUCGUAAGACAAGUCAUACUCCCCCAGCUCAAUAGCCCACUUGGUGAGGCGUCCAGAGGCCUCUGGCUGUGAUAAGAUUUGCCGAAGUGGUUGGUCAGUUCUUAGGCAAAUGUGGUGGGCUAAAAAGUAGGGCUUAAGCCUACGAGCUGCAUGGAUUAAGGCCAGCACGAGCUUCUCCGCCCGGGUGUAUCUGGUCUCCGGACCUCGGAGGACUCGGCUGACAUAAUAGAUGGGCAUCUGUACACCUUCCUCCCUUAUCAACACGGCACACACAGCUUCGGCUGCAGCAGAUAAGUACAAGAACAACUUGUCCCCUGGACGAGGUGAGGUGAGUGUUGGGAGGUGGUGAAGGUAUUCUUUCAAUUGUUCAAAGGCCUGUUGACAUUCCUCGGUCCAAGAGAAACUGUCCGCCUUUUUUAGAACCUUGAAAAAUGGCAACGCCUUGGAAGCUGAUUGCGAUAGGAACCGAUUUAGGGCGGCCAACCGCCCUGUCAGUCUCUGGACAUCACGGAUGCACCGAGGUGAAGACAUUUCUUGAAUGGCUUUCACCUUGUCUGGGUUUGCUUCGAUACCCCGUCUCGAGACGAGGUAACCCAGAAAUUUUCACGAAGUGACACCGAAGACGCAUUUCUUGGGGUUCAGCAUCAUCCGCGUCUUCCUUAGGACCUCAAAGACUUCUCUCAGGUCAGAGAGGAAGGAAGAGGUCGUCUGGCUUUUGAGGAGAAUGUCGUCCACGUAGGCUUCGACAUUUCGCCCGAUCUGAGAUUUGAAGGCUUGGUUAACCAAGCGUUGGUACGUGGCCCCGGCAUUCUUUAGUCCAAAAGGCAUGGUGGUGUAGCAAUAGGUGCCUCGGUCAGUGUAAAAGGCAGUCUUCUCCUGGUCCUCUGGACUCAUGCCUAUCUGGUGGUACCCCUUAAAGGCGUCAAGAAAGCAGAGGACCUCGUAGCCCAUUGCUGAAUCCACCAAGGUGUCGACUUUGGGCAGUGGGUAGCAGUCCUUGGGACAAGCUUUAUUGAGGUCGGUGAAGUCGACGCACAUCCUCCAAGCCCCGGUGUCUUUCUUGACCAUGACCGGGUUGGAUAACCAUGUUGGGUAUUGGACUUCUCGGAUUAUUUUUGCAGGCAAGAGCUUGUCCACCUCUUCUCCGACAGCCCGGUUUCGCUCUGGGCCGAGGUGCCUCCUUUUUUGUUUGACAGGGCGUGCCUGUGGGUCAACAUUGAGCUCGUGUAUCAUGAGGUGAUGCGGAACUCCUUGGACCUCUUCUGCGGCCCAAGCAAAGACGUCCCGGUAUUCUCGGAGGAGGUUCACCAUUCCUUUCUUAACUGAGUUGGGCAAACAGGUGCCGACACGGAUCGUUUGGUCCGGAUUUAUGGGGUUCAGGGGAAUCUCCUCCACCUCAUCUCCGGCUUCCAGCCUUUGGAGCUUCACCGUUUGCUGAGGAUCGAUGCAAUCAAUCGAGAGAAUGUCUGACCUCUUUUCAGACCUCGCAUUGGAGGUGUAUGGGGAGGCUGCUUGUAGAGUGACGAGGUAACACUCCCGGGCUGCACAAACGUCGCUGCUGACCUCGGCAACCCCCGCGGGAGUAGGGAACUUAAAGCUCAGGUGAUAAGUGGAAUAUACCCCCUGCAGAGCAUUAAGCGUGGGCCGACCUAAGAGAAGGUUGUAUGGGGAGUUGGCCCUUACCACGGCGAAGUUGACCGGAAUGGUCCGGCAUCGGGGGUGGCACCCCACGGUUACCGUCAGGGUCACCAUUCCUUCGGGAUGCACAACAUGUCCCCCGAAUCCUAUAAGAGGAGUCCUUACCGGGGUCAUACUUUCCCUAGCCAGUUUGAGGUUAUCAAACGUGCGAAGGUACAUGACAUCCACUGAACUCCCUGGGUCAAUGUAGACCUUCUUCACGAUAUAGUUAUUGGUGAGCACUUCAAUCACCAAAGUUUCGUGACUGCUCGAAGCAGCUGGGACGGGGUCGCUAGACCCGUAAGUAAUCACUUCAGACAGGCGGGAGCUGGACUCGGCCUGAUCCGGGUUAGCUUGCCUGUAGGUCCUCUUUCGGGAGUUUUGACUGUCUCCUCCCGUCGGACCUCCGGCAAGGGUAUUGAUGACCCCGGCUAUAUUGGGUCCGUACCCUAAUCCUUGUCCUGAGGAUCCGUCUCGGGGAGGUCUUUUUGUCUCCCUAGGAUCCUCUGGAGGCCUGCAACUGCUCCUGGAGGGCCGCACUUCGUCUCGGCGUUGAUCACCCUGGUUAUCCCGUCGGGGUUCGUUACGUUGCUGACCUCCAGCUCGGCGGAUGAACUGCUUCAAGUGCCCCUGUCUAAUGAGAUUCUCGAUCUCCUUCUUGAGAUCGUUGCAGUCCUCAGUUUCGUGCCCAAUAUCUCGGUGAUACAGAUAGUAGAGGUUCGAGUUCCUUUUAUCCCGGCUGCCGAACAUCUUGGGAGGUGCCUUUCCAAGAUUGUUUUGUUCCAUCACGGACAGCACCCGAGACCGACUAGUGUUCAAAGGAGUCAGCUCGGACUCAGGGAUAGGUGACCUCCCCUUGGAUAUCCUGUCGAACACACUACGACGAUCUCGGCCAGGGCCUUGGAAGCCACUUCCUGUCCCCACCUCAGUUCGGCCAAGCUCUUUUCCCUUUCGGGGGUCGGCUUUCGGGCGUGCUGCUUGAACCUCCUUUUUCAUGCGGUUGAGGUUUUCGGCUUGUAUGCCCUUCUCAACCUUUAACCACAGCUCGUGGAGGGUGCGGGGAUAUUUCUUGUGAAUCCCCGUGUUGAACACCCCGGAAACGAGCCCAUGGGUGAAAGCGGCAAUGGUAACCUGCUCAUUAGGAUCAGGUAUCUGCACGCUUUCUUCAUGAAACCUCUGAACAUACGACCGAAGUGACUCACCCGGGUUCUGCUGCAUGUUCAGCAGGUAAGCCGAGGUUCGGGUCGUAGGUCGGGAUGAAAUGAACCUAUGGAGAAAUCUUUCCACCAGUCCUCCCAGGGUUGAGAUGCUCCUAGGUUCUAAUCCCCAGAACCAUUUUCGAGCUGUCCCCUGGAGGAAUACUGGGAAGGCUCGGCAUACGACGGGGUCAGGGAUGCAAUAUAAGCGGAAGGCCGAGAUGAAGGCAUGGAUAUGAUCCUCGGGAUCAUCUCGACCGUCAUAAGACGGUAUCGAGGGAAGCUUGAAGUUUGGAGGAAACCUUUCUUCGUUAAUGUCGUCAGUGAAGGGCGGGGCCCUCAUAUAAUUCACCCCGGGUAUUCCCAGGGGUCGAGAUUCCUCCUCAGGUCGUCGCCCUAGGAGUUCUCGAGAAAAUGCCUUGGUCAUGGAAGCUACCUUAGAAGUGGCCUUAGAAAAUGCCCGCUUCAAAGCACUUCGGCUGAGGCGUCUCCCAUCAGAUUCCUCGUCGGAUGAACCUUCAGGGGAUCCCUCUGACUUCCUUUUGGAGGACUCAGCUUUCUGCUUGCCCUGCCUUUUUAGGUACCUCCCCAACUCCUUAAAGAUGUUGGGGUUCUCGGUUACAAACUCGGCCAUACGUGUUAUGGCCUCUUCGUUUGCUGGCUGGGUCCUUGGGGACUCCUGCCCUUCUGAAAUAUCUUCCUGUUGGGCUGCAUUGCUUUGCUCAGUACCAAUGGUGAGAGCUUUUCUGCUCUUAGAACGCGUAGGCUUCAUACUUUGGUAUCUUUACGUUUCCCACAGACGGCGCCAAUUGAAGAGGUGAAUUCUGUACCGCUGGAGUAAACCUUCUGAGUACUCUGGGUGGUCCACUGGGACGAGGUCACCUGCUCAAGUUACUAGAGGGGCUGAAUCCCCCGGUAGAACUCCAAAACUUAAGUCAGUUCGGAAAUGAGAGAAUAUGUGAAUUGAAGAGAGUAUCAGUAUGUCUUUACCAGAUAAUUGGUCAUCAUCCCCCUUCUUAGUGGAUACCCAGGGGUAUUUAUAGGGGAUUUGUUAGGAAGAGGGACUGGCAUCACGGGUCCCUAAAGAUCUGAGACGGUCAGUGCAUCUGGUGGAUUGGACGGCUCUUUACGAAAAGGUUCGAUGGGACAUCCGCCAGUUUCAGGCGGCGUGUGUCAGAGUAGCUGUCCAUCAGAUGUCAAGCGUAUCAAGUGUCAGUUCCCAUCUUUCGUAGGCGUCCAUCAAUCAGGUGUCACCUCGGCUAAUGUCCUGAAGACUUAGGCCGAAGUGGUACACAGGCUUUCACGUCCUCGAUGAGCAAGGUGCCGAGGUGGGACCUCGGGAGGAAUCAGAGUACGAGGCUCGGGUUAUCCGAGCCGAAAUGACCAUCCUCACUCUUCCCAAUCGAGCUUGAAGAUUUGUCCAGUAGGCAGUAUUCCAGAGGAUGCCCUCUGAAGAGAUGAAUUCUCGGUGAAUGAGCCGAGGUCACCAAGAGACGAGAUCACCUGCAAAAUUUCAAGUGACCAGGGGCUUUGUUCUCUGGUCUCACUCCGAUGCUAAAGUCAGAGAGAGUUCGGGAGUUGAAUAUACGAGUUAGAUUGCGCACCUCAUUUGGAAGUGAUAGAUGAGUAUUUAUAGUGGAUGCGCCUAUGGAUGGAAUGAUAAGGUCUACCCGCUGUCAACCAUCAUGAGGCGGUUUAGGGUGGCAGUGUCAGGUGUAAGUCUGAUUAUUAAGUUGGCUGAUAGUCACAUCACUCCAUUAGUCACAAAUCACUUCAAAUAACCAAAAUGUGAGUUGUCUUGGGCAAAUGAAUAGACGAGAUGAAACAUAUCUCCAAGGUGAUCUCAUAAAUCACCUCGUUGAAAAAUACUCCGAACGAGAUAUCCCCAGUGGAAAGAGAAUGAACGGGACUGAUCAAGCUCGAGUAGGCCGAGGUGUCUACACCCUCCAUACAAAAAUUCUUAUCUUUGAGGAAAUAUUUAAGCGCCAAUUUACCAUAACUCAUUCCAAAAGUUCUUCGCUUUACUAUUUGAAUAAGAUUCUUCUCCUCCCCCUUCCAGCUUUCCCACCCUCCUUGCCAAGUAAUCUACUGACCUCAAAAUUUCCACUCUAUGUAUAAAGCCACACCACCUCAUCUUUCGGCCAUGAUAGGAGAAUUUUUAACAGAUGAUCCAUUUCAUAGUUACGCGAAAGAGCCUUUCGAGAAUGCAAUUUCCAACAGGCAAAAGUAUGAGGUGGAAAUACUUAAAAUAUAGGAAUACAGAAAUAAAAUUAGAGUAAACUAGUAGGGCUAGAAUAGUUUUUCGUAGCUAAACAUUCCUACUUUUGUAAUGGAACCAACUUCAUCCGUGUAUUCUUGAAAGGACCUAAAUUAUCAUCAAAAGAUUCUUUAGAACUCUUCCAUGCACUAAAUUAAUGUUCAAAUCUUGUCCAUCACAUCACAAUGAAAUAUAAUAUAGUGCACUUAUUUGAUUUGAUGAUUCAAACCUCAAGUCCAUACAACCCUCUUUGGUUUCUGUAAGUUAGUAUAGUAGUACAUUUGUUUUGUUUUGUUUGGUGUUUCACUCAAAAUCCUCAUGCAAGCCUCUUUUCCCACAACAGAUCUUCUGUCCCACACUCUGUGCCAUUCUCUGUCCCACUUUUUAUUAUAUUGCUAUUUCUCCUUCAUAAACAUCAUGUUUUAGUUCUUUUUUGUUUAUUUAUGAUUCAAUAACUAUUAAUUCAGUAAAAAAUAAAUACAACAGUUUCAAAAAAGUAAUAUAUAAUAUAAAAUUAAAAAAUACAGCAAAAAAUGCAUAAAAAAUCUCAUUUUUUAUGCAUUUUGAUUUUUUGAGUUUGUUAAAUUUUGUGUAUUACUGAAUUAAUAGUUAUUGGAUCUUAAGAAAAUAAAAAAGAACUAAAACAUGAUAUUUAUAAAGGAGAAAUAGCAAUAUAAUAAAAAGUGGGACAAAAAAUGACACAGAAUGUGGGACAGAAGAUCCGUUGCGCUCUUGUCCACAUAUUAUUGAUUAGUAUAUGAGUAUUAUAGACUGUUGCUAUUACCACAAAAAAAAAACUUCAUAGGAUUAUUUGGCAACGUUUGGUUGACUCACAUAAACCAGUUGGCUCAGUCCAAUGGCACAUUCAAUUCCACCAUUUUCGUCUUUUCCUUUUUCUUUUACAAAAUUCCACGUAAAAAAAAAAAUUUAAGAGACGAUCAGAAAAGGAAAGAGAGGACCAGCACCGGAAAUUGGCAAAGAAGUAUGGCUUCCCAGAUCGUUGGACGGCUCCUUCGAAGCACCACCCGCCAUAACCCUAUCAUCCCUAAAUCUAGCAGCUUCUUCCAUCGCAAUAUCUCCGUCGACUCUACCUCUGAGUCCAAUCUCAUUCGUGCCACUCUUUUCCCCGACGAUGGCAUCGACCCCGAAAUUGCCGAGUCCUUGAAAGAGGUAGUAGUCUUCCUUCCUCACUUCAAUCUGUCUCUCUGCGUUUAUUCCCCUGUAUAAUUAUAUCUUCUUAUUUGUGCCCGUCUUCGCGCUAUGUUAAAGUUACCCUGCAAGUGUGGACGCUGGUGCAUCACAAUUUUAGCGAAGAGGACCAGGUAAACAGUUGCUUAGGGACAGGGCCUCCAAAAGCAAAAGGUUGUUUGGAAAUUUUGAGAGCCAACAAGGCGACAGAGUCAUAAAUAAAGCAAUUCACAAUUUCUUUUGCUGAGAUGGAAGGAGAGGAGACUUCUUUUGUCUGUUUCAUACUAUAGCUACUUCACUGGAUAGCCAUAUCUGAUGUCACUACCGUCUCAUUCCACGCUACCGUUUACUAUGGAGUACUUGACAACAAUACAUGCUAGGUUGUAUUUGGAUUGCAUUUUUCUAGACUUUUUGUAGAAAAAUUAUUGUAACGAUUUGAUGUAUGUGAGGUAAAAAAAUGAUAGAAAAAUAUGUUCACAAAAAAUAUAACAAUUUUUUAACGAAAAAUAGCUGUCCAAACACAAUUGCCCGUUUCGGCAACUUUCAUUCUUUCCCCUAUAAUACUUACUACUGAGUACUAUUUUGCUCGUGAAUUUCAUUUUACAUACCAACUCUUCUUUUUUCGUUUCACAUGUGAUUCGGUCAUGAGCAAAGUGGAGUACAUUUCAACUCCAUCCCACCAACAAAGCAGCUUUUCUCUUUUUAUUUUAAAUAAAUAAAGUGAUUAAUAUAUAAAUAAUCUCCUAAUAAAUUCCUCUCAUCUAAUUGACUCGGAUGAAUAAGUUGUGUUCUACUUUAAGCCAAAUGAAAACUUAAACAAAUAUAAUCAACUAACUCUAACGUAGUUGACCACCACAUGUCUUUGUGGGUAAGAGGUCAAGAUUUCAAACAUUAUCCUUCAUCAAAAGUUAUUACUUAAUGUGGAUUCUUUUAGAUUCAUAUAGGUGUUUCUUGCAUCCGCGUGGUCCAAUGAUGAUUUAGUUUCAAUCGAUUCUCCGUGAUUCUAUUGGAUUACCCUCCUAGAAUACACUAGAGUAUGAGUAAGUGUAGAUGACGAUAAUGGAUAAAAAAAAGAAAAUUUAAACAAAUAUUAGCACUACUAAGUUAAUCCAAGGAACACUUGCUGCAAUUCCGAUAAAGAGCACCGGUAAAUGUCACCCUCGCUUUUUCUUAAAAGUAUCAAAGCGCAAAUUCGGUGGCUGAGGGAGCACUACUGUCUACUGGCUGAAGAUUUUGAUACAGGGGGCCGGCCGGAGGAUGGGGUUGGAAUAGAAGUUACUAACACAUACUAUUAUUGCUCUAUGUUUGUCUUAUCAGAGAGAUUACUGUUUUCUAGAUCUUCUUAAUAAGGUAAAUAAUGACAAUGAUCUCCUACAAAAAAAAAGGCAGUGAUCAGCAAUUUACUGUGCAAAAAUUAAAUUAUGGAGGUUCCUUUUGUGUUUACGACCAGCUAGUACGUGAACGUGAUGAUGAUGUGCACUUAGAAAUGAAUAGGCUGGGAGAUUAACCACCACCACCGUCACUAAUCACUAUGCAUCUCGUUCGUUCUGUGAAAGGGAUAGGUAUUUAUUUGGUAGAGUUUGCCACUUUAAGAGAGAGAGAAUGGGGAGAUGAUGAUGAUGAUAAGAACUGAAGCCAGCUUUUCCGUAGGAUUGAUUGAAAGCAAGAAAAUGAUACAGCCAGUGAAGUCUACAUGCAAUGAUCAACAUCAUCCAUCAACGGAAAUGGGGCAGGAACCUUAAGGUUCUCGGCCAUGAUGUGGCCUCAGAAUUUUGUGCGGCUCAUAUUACAGCAUGUAACUGGAUUUUCACUCUCUUUUUAUCUGUCUUUUUAUCUACAGCAUGUGGCCUCCAUCAACUCUCUUUUUAUCUCCAUCUGUGUAACUCCGUCGUCAACUAAUGAAAUAGAUGGGGAGAAAUUCUACAUUUGUUCAUUUGUUUACUAGUUCUUUGAACAUCUCAAUAAUGGAUGAAUUAAGUAAUACAAGCAUUAAGGAAAUUUUGAAUUAGGAUUUGUCAAAGUAUCAAAUGGUGCCUAUUAUGUUGAUUUUAGGUGACGAGACAGAUAAUUUUAGAAGUUCUCUUGCUGUGAUGUGAAUCCCAGAAUUUUUUUUGUCUCAAAGAUAACAUUUGUAUAAUCUAACCUAACCUAAUUUAAGGAGAAGUUCUCUUGUUGUAAUGUAAAUUCCAGAAAUUUUUUUUUUAUCGCAACGAUAACAUUUGUAUAAUUUACUCUAAGGGAGGGGGAAUCGACGGAAUUUUCUAUCGAAGAAAGCUACAGUUAAGGGACAGCCACAAUUAAGUGGCAAGCUGGGAGACAACUGUGUGAAUCUCAUAAUCCUAUGUGUCAAAGCGUCAACUGUCAACUAACCUUUGUAUGUUUAUCCCUUAAUGACGUCUUCCAACCUUACUCAAAAAAGAGAGAGAGAGAGAGAGAGACUACCAGAAGUCUCUUCCUUUAAAAUUACUAGGAGAAAAAUAAACAUGGAGCGAAAUUUCAAAAAUAGCCACCGUAUUAAGUACGCUACGUCCUUUAUACCCUAUUGGUGAUUCCUAACUUUAAGGAACUCGUAUGGUAUAUAUUACUAAUGAUGAUUAUGCAAGUCAUCGUCUUUGACCGCAGAGCAGAGAUUGAGUCUGAACUCGUUCCCUGCAGCAUCUCACCAACUACCAAUGGAUUAUCUAAUUGAAUUUCCUGAAAUGAUUGAACGGCAACUACAAUACCAUGGAAAAGAAAUAAUUUUUUUUUAUCUGCGUAUUAUUUGAAAUCAAAUUUAGGAACAUGAGUUCAGACUGUAUCUAAUUAGAUUUUCUGGACUAAUUUUUCGUCUUUAUCAUUCCUAUUAAUUGGUUGUACUUUCCCAAAGACAUGUGGAAAAACAUUUUUUUUAAACUAUCCACAAAUUAGAGCAGCCACCCGAGUUCAAGGGAUUUCAAAUCCUCUGUCCUCAAAGUAAUCUCUUUUCCCUCUGUCUCUUAUUUGUACAGCUGCCAUGUGUCUCUAGAGGUUGAAAUAAUGAACAAUAUAGCCCUCUCUUUUUUUAUUUUCUUUUCAAAAAGUAUACACUAACUUUUGUCCCAGCUGAAGAUUAAUGCAUUAUGUAAAUGUUUUCCUAGAAAUAUGAGAAACGUUUCAAGUGUCGUAUUUAUGAUGAAUAUUGCGGAUUGCUUAUUAUUGAAUUCCAUGCAUAUUCCCUUUCCAAAUUUAUACACUUGUAAAACUGCAGCCUCACUCUCGGUUAUACAUUUUUCAAUUUUGUGUAAAUGAUGCUAUAGCAUAUAUUAGAUGGUGAAAGAUCUCGCAAUUCACGAAGAAGCUGGUAUAAAAGUCAAAGGAAUAAUGGCCAAAUUUGUAAACUGAUUAUUAUUGAUUUAUUUGAGUUUAGAUUAACAAAAAAUAAGAGACACGUGAUAACUGUAUAAAUAAGGGACAGAGGAGACAGAGGAUUUGAAGCCAGUUCAAGGUGCCUAACACUUAAACCAAGUGCACUCGCGAUUGUACGGUGUUUUUUGAACUUCCAUUCAAUCACGCAUGUAAUUGCAACUGCAUUUGUGCGCAGCCCCACUCCCCGCUCCUAAUUAGUACUGACUAGUCUAAAGACCCGUUCUAUGCACGGCAAUAAAGAAUGUUAUGAAAAUAAAUAAAUAGUUAUGAGAAUAUAUAAUACAUAAAAAUUUUAAUAAACAAUAGUUCAGCCUAUGAAAUGUUAAGCAAUUUUUAGCUACCUCUUCUUGCUUCUACCUGUACAAAUCCCAUCCCUUCGUCGCUGAAAAAAAUUUAAAACAAAAAACAAGUUUUAGCUACUAUCGUCUACACAGUACAAACAUGCAUUACAAAAAAAAUGAUAUAACACGUAAACCACGUCAUAUUAAUUGUAAUAGAUCUAAGACCAAAUUAUAUUUGCUAAAUGCCAAUUCAUUUCUCAGCCAUCAUGUCCAACAUUCAAAAAUUUCAAAUGGCCCAAAAAUUUCAAAAAUUUUUGGUAUUGAAAUUAAUAAUAAAUCAAAAAGAAAUGGCCCAGAAACACAACUAAAUUAUGAUAAUUUUACUACUCGAAAAAAUUCAUAAAUUCUAAAUAAAUUAUUUCAACAUUUUCUUUUCUAUCUUAUAAAUCUAAAUCUAUAAUAAAUUACUAUCAAAAGUAUCAUAUUAUAAUGAUAAAAUUAUUUUAUAACCAUUCAUCAAAUAGUAGGUAUGAACAUGAAAAAUUUGGCACCUUUACCUUAAAAUUAUACUAGAUAAUCUUAUAAUUAUAUAGAAAAAUAAAUUAAAACCCAUUACACAAGGGCAUUUUUGGAUAUUCAUUUAAAAAUUUGAUCAAAUCAAUAUUAUUUUAAAACUUUGUUAUUAAAACUAUCAAAUCAAGGAAGGUAAAAGUAAUUUUUCAAAUCUUAGAAGAGUUGAGUGAAAUUGUCAGGAACUUUGCCUCGCCUCCUCAGGGGAGGUUUCUGAAAUUUUCCCUAUUUUCUAACUACAUGACUUAAGUGCUUUCCGGGGAAUUUGGGGGUUAUUACACUCUUAGUAGCAGGGUUCUCUCCAGUGUAGUUUAUCCCACAUCGGGGUUGGGGGUUGGGUUAGUUGGGUAGAUAAGUCCCUAGAGACUCUCCAGAGUUGCCGGCUUUUGAGGGUUCUUCUGGGAUUAGGUUUAUCAAAUUCAACAAAAGUCAAUUUACUGGCGUUGAAAAAAAAGACUUAAGUGAUAUGUGAAGGAGAAUAAAAUCAAAUGAUGGGUUGGUGUAAUGACUAAAAUUUCAAGGAAACUACCAAUCAAAUGAUGGGUUGGUGUAAUGACUAAAAAUUUCAGGGAAACUUUUCAGGGAAACUAUCCAGGAAAGUAUCUGAAAAUUGUCAAAUCUUUUCACCGGGCCACCAAUCACAAUCAGUGAAAAGCCCAUGUACCAUGCCAUUCCCACGUAUACCCAACCAACCGUCCAAUUUAUGAUCGAUCAAUGGUCCUGAUUCAUAUUCUUUUUUUUUUUUUUUUUUUUUUUUUGUCGACGGAGUGGGGUGUCCGGGUCAAGUCCGUAAAGGCGGCCCGACUAAUCCCCACUCCGGCCCGGUCCAGCGCCCCAACCAGACCUAGCACGUUAAAUGCACGGCGAACUGAUGUUGCUGCGGAGGUUCGACCCCAGGACCUAACGGUCCCGAGGAGGAGGCGCCAACCACCAGCUCAUUCACGUGGGGGCCGUCCUGAUUCAUAUUCAACCAAGCCUGCUUAGCAACGACUGCCACCAUCCCCCGCCCUCACUCUUUCUCCCCCUUGUGCUCUCAAUUCUCACCUACCAAUUCUUGCAUCUAUACAUUUCGGAGGCCUUUUGCAACUACAGCCCUGGAACUUCCUGCCCACCGGCAUUAGCAGUUGUUCCUCUCGUAACACAAAGUAGUAGUAUACGAAGAGGUCGUUUUUGUCCUGCUGGAGUGGAUCACCCGAGCUGGAGAAGACCUCUGAUCCUAGGUGGUUGACUCAGACGAGGUCACCUGCUCAAAUUGUAAGAGGGACUAAAGUCCCCGGUGUAACUCCGAAGCUUAAGUUAGUUCGGUAUUUUAAAGAGCAAUAUGCUGGAGAGCAAUAUGGCUAAUGUUACCAGAAAUUUGGCCGUCCCCCUCUCAGUAGAAGUCUUGAGUAUUUAUAGAGGAUGGACAGGGGAGAGGGACUGCUUGCACAGGUCCCUAGAGAUCUGGCAGAGUCAGCGUAUCAAAGUGACUCAAUGGACUCUGCAGAAAGGUGCGCCGGGACAGCUGUGUCAGUCGGCGCGUGUCAGAGCAGCUUUGCCAGAAAUGUCAGAGGUAUCAGAGGUGUCAGAGGUCAUGUUUCACAACUCCGGUUGUCUGGUCACCAUAAUUGACUUCGGCUAAGUAAAGGAAAACCUUAGCCGAGGCUGUAAUUAAGCCGAAGUCCUAACGCGAUGGCGAACGGCCGAGGUGGUCAGAGCCUAAGAGACAUAGGGCGGGACCCCAGCUCUGCCGACCUGGAAAUACCCUCCUCACUAAGCCCCCCAAGCCUCGGGAAGGGCGAGGUCGCGGUACCCCGAAGUGGCUACUUCCCGGGGCUGAUAAGGGUGUAAGACACGGAGUGUUGGGACACGUCAUUACCGUGCGGAUGAGACUGAAUGAGGGGUGAAAGGACGGCUGUCAGCUAUAAUGAUAACUCCGUGGAUGGACGUGAAAUCAACGGUCAGAUGAACAGUCCUCAUUAAAUGAGGAGAGAGGUUGCGUCCUUACGGAUCCCAAAGGUUUUGCCCUUUCAUCUCCUCCCUGUUAGCCUAUAAAUAGGGGUCCCUUUUUACCAAUUUACUCUUCACCAGAAAUCAAGAAUCACCACAGAGCUCUAUUUCUUCGUCUUUUCACUUCGGCACACUUUCAAACCACAUCCUGAGUAAGUUCACUUCUUCUUCUUCUUCAUUUCUCCCUCUAGCAAUGGCUAGAACUGCCCGUACUCAUAGAGAGACAGUGAGGCCCGACUUCGCCGAAGCAGAAAGGCCUGAACCCUCCGAAGAGAGAACGGUUUCUGAGGCCGGGGAAGGGGGGCCGAAGCGUCUCAUCAGGCCGGGACACCCCAGGGAGAAAGCGAGGGAACCGAGGUCGAGGGGGAGGUCCUCUACAACGACGACCUCGGCGACGAAGUUCCAAGGGACGAGGGAGUGCAAGAGCCUACUACUCCUCCGAACCUGGAAGCAAUUGACUACGGCAUUGUUCCUCAAUUCGGCAGCGUAAUGACUGAAGCAAUGAUCAUCGAGGUGGUUCGUCAGUAUCCCUGGAGGAGGGACUACAGUAUUUAUACUCCUCAGACGAACCAGUCAGCCGAGCUCCCUCCACGAGGUAGAGUGGCCAUAUAUAUCGAUCAGUUGGAGGCAGGGCUAAGGAUUCCAACCACAAGGUUCCUCCGGGACUGCCUGAGAUAUUGGGGGGUGAGAAUCACUCAGCUCGUCCCCAACGCAAUCCGGGUCCUGGUCGGCUUCCAGAUGUUGUGCCGACAUCAAGAAAUAACUCCCACAGUCAACCUCUUCCGUCGUUGCUACUCGCUCAAGAAUAGUGGGACUGAGAAGGGGUGGUACUACUUCGGGAACAAAGUCCCGAAGUUGGUGGUAGAUGCACCUUCCUCCAUCAAAGAAUGGAAGAGGAACUUCAUUUUUGUCCCGGCUGGUGACUUCCCCAGGGGGUUCUGGUGGAGGCCGCCUACUCCGGUCAAAGAGACCUCUCCGGGUAAACUGGAGGAGGAUAACUUCAGAAAGCUGACGGGGUCGGGCCUCUGGAUCAAUUGUUGGGAUUUUCCGGAGUCAGUUCUUGUCGACGGCGGCAUCAGCCGAGCUCUUAUCAGCCCGGAUCGUCCGCCAUUCUAUUCUAAUAGGCUUGAAAAGCAUUGUACUUCCUUACUCCUUACUUCGUCUAUUUUUUUCCUUGAUUCUAACUAACUCUCCCUCUAUGCUUCGCAGUGAAGAAGGUUUCCGAUCUGAUUACCGCGGGGCCUUCCGGGGUCAGCAAGAGGCCGUCCAAGCGUAAAGACCAGGCCGAACCAUCCACUCGGCCGAAGAAGAAGACCACCUCGGCCCACACCACUACGGUGACGGCAAGCCGGGGGUCUCCCGUGAUAAUCACCGGGGAAGGCUCCCGCACUUCAUCGAUUCCUGCCGGGGUGGGUCGUACUUCGGCUAUACCCGUUGGGGUGCCGAUCAGGGGGAUAACAAUUGCCACUCCACCUCGGGGCAGAGGGACAACGGCAUUUCCCGUGGUCCCCGUGACGGGGUCCUCUCUCUUUAAUCUUCACAACGUCCCCUCACAAGAGGCCGGGGAGGAUAAAAGGCACUCCGGCGCGCAAUGGUGUCCGGAGUGGGAGCUCAACGUGAAUGACCGCUGUAAGGACCCCUUGGUCGCUCAGGAGCUUCUGGUCCACUCAGUCCUGCCCCGAGAUAAUACCUACGCCCGGAAGCUUUCCCCAGGCGAACUGAUGCAGAGUGCUUCCGUCUCCUGGGCAUCCACCACUGCUUUCCUCGCCGAACUGACCCAACGCUAUACAAAGUUGGUCGAAAACUAUCAACCUUCUGCCGAGCUCGAGAAGAAGGUUGCCGAGCUUGAAGAAAAACUGAAGGCGACCGAGCAGGAGCGCGACAAGGCCGAAGCAACGUGAGAACAGGCCGAGGCUACCAAGAACUCUUUGAUGACUGCCCUUGCCGAAGAAAAAGAUAGAAGGGCUCAGGAAGAAGAGUCAACCAAAGCGGCCAUCGAAGAAGCGGGGACCUCGGCGCUGGAAGCCUUCCGGAAAUCAGAGGGUUUCCUCAAGGAUCUCGGCGAGCUCACCUUGCCGAGCUUCAUGUUCGGAUACACUUCGGCAGUUCACGAUACGGCUCCCUUUCUCACUCCGGAUCAGCUGGAGUCCCUUCAUGACAAGGAACAUUUCAACGAGGAUGCCAAGGAACUAUUCGAUCGUAUGGCCGAAGGCAUCCGGACUGGAAGGGAUCUGACCGAGGUAAAGGAGGAGUUCAACAAAUGGCUAUCUGAAUUUGAUCUGGACGGGGCCGAACUCCAAGGUGACGACAUCGGCAGUGAUGGCGGAGGUGAUGGCGGAAGUGAUGGCGGAGCUGAGGCCACCGGAGAUAACCAGGAAGCCGAAGCACGGGGCGCGUAGAUAAUAGGCUGAUUUUUGCAAUAGGUUAGCCGAGGUCAUAGAUAACCUUGGCCAUUCGCUUGUAACUCUGAGCCGAGGCCACAUGUGACCUCGGCUUUUUGCUUUUCGUAUCUCAAUAUAACUGGUUUUUUGACUUGCAUUUUGUCUUCUUUUUUGGCUACUGCUUUGUCCCCUUAUUUUUCACUUAAGACAGAAUGAGAAUAAGUGAGAAAUAAUUUAAAGAGGUGAGAUAUAAAAACACGUACCCCUCACGGGUAAUACAACUUAAGGUUCUCAGCAUACCAGGUUCGGGGCACCCGCGAACCAUCUCGGUAAGCUAGUUUACAAUAUCCAUUUUGGCUGGACUCAAUAACUCGGUAGGGUCCCUCCCACUUGGGGUUGAGUUUUCCCUGGGGCUCAGCUCGGCUGACAGAGUUUUUCCGGAGCACAAGGUCUCCCGGACUAAAUCUUAAGUGUUUGACCCGAGCAUUGUAAUAGCCAGCUAGGAUAUUUUUGUAUGUCGCAACUUUGGCCGCGGCCAUAUCACGCUUCUCUUCGGCGAGAUCGAGGUCAACACGCCGCUCCUCUUCAUUGACUUCGGCAGCAUACGCAGCCAUUCGCGGGCUAGGUGUGAUGAAUUCAGCUGGAACGACGGCCUCGGACCCAUAAGUUAGGGAAAACGGCGUUUCUUGGGUCGCUGACCUCGGCGUAGUCCGGUAGGACCACAGCACGCUGGGGAGUUCUUCCAUCCACGAUGAUCCAGCCCGGUGGAGCCUGGUCUUGAGGCCAUGGAGGAGAGUUCGGUUGAAGUUUUCGGCUUGUCCAUUCGCCUGAGGGUGCCCUACCGAGGUGAAGUGUUGCUUGAUCCCCAAGUUCUCGCACCAUGCCUUGAAAGGGUUAUCAGCAAACUGCUUUCCAUUAUCCGAGAUCACAACUCGAGGUAAUCCGAAGCGGCAGACCACGUUUUUCCAGAAAAAUUUUUGGACAGCCAAUCCAGUGAUGCUUCUCAGGGGUUCAGCCUCGACCCAUUUAGUGAAAUAAUCUACCGCCACCACCACGUAGGCAUAGUUGCCUGGGACCCUAGGGAAUGGACCGAUUAUGUCGGUCCCCCAUUGUUCGAAGGGCCAUGGCGAGGUGAUGGGGAUCAUAAGAUUAGUCGGUUGGUGGUGCUCAGGGGCAUGGUGUUGACAAGAAGGACAACAGAGCACCAUGACCUGGGCGUCCACCUUCAUGGUGGGCCAAAAGUACCCAAGAAGCAAAGCUUUCUUCACCAGCAUCCUGAAGCCGACGUGGGCACCACAGAGUCCCUCAUGAAUGUCCUCAAGGAUCCUCUCGCCUUCUUCCGGGGUGAUACAUCGUAGCCAUGGGCCGAGGUAGGACCUCUUGUACAAGAGGCCCUGCCGGAGGGUGUACCGAGCUGCUUUUCGUUGAAGCUUCCGUGAUUCAGCUCGGUCUUCGGGGAGCUCACCCCGACUGAGAUAUCGAGUCAAGGGCCCCAGCCAUGUGUCCCCAGGGUAAACGGGGUACACGACCUCAGCUAAAUAUCCCGGCUCGGCUAGAACUUCUACGAGAACCGUCUUGUUCAGAUCGGAGAAAGAGGUGGAAGCAAGCCGGGAGAGGGCGUCAGCCCUUCGGUUUUGUGACCGCGGUAUUCUUUGGAUUUCAAAAGACUCGAAGUAUGUGGCCAGCUGGAGUACCUUGGAGAGGUAACGCUGCAUCACCUCUUCCCUGGCCUCGUAUUCGCCUAGUAUUUGGCACACGACGAGUUGGGAGUCGCUAUAGACCAUGAUAUGCGCGGCCCCGACCUUACGAGCUAUUUGCAGACCGGCAAUGACGGCUUCGUAUUCGGCUUCGUUGUUGGAAGCGGCAAAAUCGAACCUCAAGGCGUACGAGCAAAUUUCCCCUUGGGGAUCUUCAAGGAGCAAACCGGCUCCGCUACCCUCGCUAUUGGAUGAGCCAUCCACAUGCAAGGUCCAUCGCUGGGGCUCGGAGGUGGACGGGGUGACAGCCUGGGUGGUAGCCGGGAUGGUCUCACUCACUUCUUCAAAGGUAAGCUCGGCCAGAAAAUCUGCGAGAACCUGGGCUUUAAUUGCUGUGCGGGGCUCAUAAGAUAAGUCGUACUCUCCCAGCUCGAUGGCCCACUUGGUGAGGCUUCCAGAGGCCUCCGGUCGCGACAGGAUCUGCCGAAGUGGUUGAUCUGUCCGUAGACAGACGUGAUGAGCCAAGAAGUACGGCUUAAGCCUACGAGCUGCGUGAAUUAAGGCCAGCACAAGUUUCUCCGCCUGAGUGUACCUGGUCUCAGGACCUCGGAGGACUCGGCUGACAUAAUAAACGGGCGUUUGGACACCCUCCUCCCUUAUCAGUACGGCACUCACAGCUUCAGCUGCAGCGGAUAAGUACAAAAAUAACUUGUCCCCUGGGCGAGGUGAGGUGAGUGUUGGGAGGUGGUGGAGGUAAUCCUUUAACUGUUCAAACGCCUGUUGGCACUCUUCCGUCCAGGAAAAUUUGUCAGCUUUCUUGAGGACUUUGAAGAAUGGCAGUGCCUUGGAGGCUGACUGCGAUAAGAACCGAUUCAAGGCGGCCAGACGCCCUGUCAGUCUCUGGACGUCUCGGACACACCGUGGUGAGGACAUUUCUUGGAUGGCCCUCACCUUGUCUGGAUUUGCUUCAAUACCCCGCCUGGAGACGAGGUAGCCUAGGAACUUUCCCGAAGUGACCCCGAGGACACAUUUCUUGGGGUUCAACAUCAUUCGGGUCUCCCGAAGGACUUCCAGGACUUCCUUCAGGUCGGCAAGAAAUGCUGAAGUUGUCUGGCUUUUGAGGAGGAUGUCAUCCACAUAGGCCUCGACAGUUCGGCCGAUCUGAGAUUUAAAAGCUUGGUUGACCAAGCGUUGAUACGUGGCCCCGGCGUUCUUUAGUCCGAAAGGCAUGGUGGUGUAACAGUAUGUGCCUUUGUCCGUAUAGAAGGCGGUCUUUUCUUGAUCCUCCGAACUCAUCCCGAUCUGGUGGUACCCUUUAAAGGCGUCAAAAAAGCAGAGGACUUCAUAUCCCAUUGCCGAGUCCACCAAGGUGUCGACCUUAGGCAAUGGGUAACAAUCCUUGGGGCAAGCCUUGUUGAGGUCGGUGAAGUCGACGCACAUUCUCCAGGCCCCGGUGUCCUUCUUCACCAUGACCGGGUUGGAUAACCAGGUCGGAUAUUGGACCUCCCGGAUGAUCUUUGCGGGGAGGAGCUUAUCCACUUCUUCGCCAACAGCUCGGCUGCGUUCAGGGCCGAGGUGCCUUCGUUUUUGUUUGACCGGGCGGACCUGGGGAUCGACAUUCAGCUCAUGUAUCAUGAGGUGAUGUGGAACUCCUUGAACCUCCUCCGCGGCCCAGGUGAAGACGUCCCGGUACCUUCUUAGGAGGUCUACCAUACCUCUUUUAACAGGAUCGGGCAGUCGGGUACCAACGCGAACUGUCUGAUCAGGCUUCGUGGGGUCCAGAGGGAGUUCUUCCACCUCAUCCCCAGUUUCCAGCCUUGGGAUCUUCUCAGCUCGCUGAGGAUCAAUGCUAUCUAUCGAAAGGAUAUUUGACCUCUUCUCAGGCCUUGCCCCGGAGGUUGAUGGGAAGGUUGCUUGUAGAGUGGCGAGGUAACAUUCUCGGGCAGCGCAGACGUCGCUGCUGACUUCGGCCACUCCCGCUGGAGUAAGAAACUUGAAGCUUAAGUGAUAGGUGGAGUACACUGCCCGCAAAGCAUUGAGUGUAGGCCGGCCGAGGAGUAAGUUGUACGGGGAGUCACCCCCGCUGACGCCCUACAGUUACUGUCAGAGCCACCAUCCCUUCGGGGUGCACAAUGUGUCCCCCGAACCCAACAAGAGGAGUCCUUACCGGGGUCAUGCACUCCCUGGCCAGUUUAAGGCUUUCAAAGGUGCGGAGGUACAUGACGUCCACUGAACUUCCCGGGUCAAUGUAAACCUUUUUCACGAUGUAGUUAUUGGUGAGAAUUUCAAUCACCAAGGCUUCAUGACUGCUGGAGGCGGCCGGGACGGGGUCACUAGGCCCGUAAGUGAUCACUUCGGAUAGGCGAGAAUUGGCCUCGGCCUGGUCCGGGUUGGCUUGUCUGUAGGUCCUCUUCCGGGAGUUCUGGCUAUCUCCUCCCGUCGGACCGCCGGCAAUGGUGUUAAUGACUCCGGCAAUAUUUGGCCCAUAUCCCAGUCUUUGACCUGAGGAUCCAUCUCCGGGUGGCCUUUUCGGCUCCCUAGGAUCCUCGGGAGGUCGGCAACUGCUUCUUGACGUCCGCCUCUCAUCACGGCGUUGGUCACCCCGCUUAUCGCGUCGAUUCUCAUCACGCGAAUGACCUCCACUUCGGCGAAUGAACUGCUUGAGGUGGCCUUGUCGGAUGAGGUUCUCAAUCUCCUUUUUGAGAUCGUUGCAUUCCUCUGUUUCAUGUCCGAUGUCCCGGUGAUACAGACAGUAGAGGUUCGAGUUCCUCUUGUCUUUGCUGCCCCACAUUUUGGGAGGGGCCUUUCCGAGGUUGUUUUGUUCCAUUAUAGACAGCACGCGGGAUCGGGAGGUGUUCAGGGGAGUCAGUUCGGACUCUGGGAUGGGCGACUUCCCCUUAGAGAUCCUGUCGAACACACUACGACGAUCUCGGCCGGGACUCUGGAAGCCGCUUCCAGUCCCAGCUUCACCUCGGCCAAGCUCCUUCCCUUUUCGGGGGUCGGCCCUUGGGCGAGCAGCUUGGACUUCUUUCUUCAUGCGAUUGAGGUCCUCGGCCUGUAUGCCCUUUUCGACCUUCAACCACAGUUCGUGGAGUGUGCGGGAAUACUUCUUGUGGAUCCCCGUGUUGAACACUCCAGAUACAAGCCCAUGAGUGAAUGCAGCAAUAGUGACUUGCUCAUUGGGGUUAGGUAUUUGUACGCUUUCCUCAUGGAACCUCUGGACGUACGACCGAAGUGACUCCCCCGGGUUUUGCUGCAUAUUCAGCAGAUAAGCCGAUGUCCUGGUCGUAGGUCGGGAGGAGAUGAAUCGAUGGAGGAAUCUUUCCACCAGUUCCCCCAGGGUGGAGAUGCUCCUAGGUUCCAAUCCCCAGAACCAUUUUCGAGCAGUGCCCUGGAGGAACACUGGAAAAGCUCGGCAUAUGACUGGGUCAGGGAUGCAAUAUAAACGGAAAGCCGAGAUGAAGGCGUGGAUGUGAUCCUCGGGAUCACCUCGGCCGUCAUAAGAUGGUAUAGAGGGAAGCUUGAAGUUUGGAGGAAGCCUUUCCUCGUUAAUGUCAUCAGUGAAGGGCGGGGCCCUCAUAUAAUUCACCCCGGGUAUUCCCAGGGGCCGAGGUUCCUCCUCGGGUCGUCGGCCUAGGAGUCCUCGGGAAAAUGCCUUGGUCAUGGAAGCUACCUUAGAAGUGGCCUUAGAAAGUGCCCGCUUUGAGGCACUUCGGCUUAGGCGCCUUCCAUCAGAUUCUUCGUCAGAUGAACCUUCGGGAGACCCAUCUGAUUUUCUUUUAGAGGUCUCAGCCUUCUGCUUGCCUUGCCUCUUUAAAUAUCUCCCCAACUCCUCAAAGAUGUUGGGAUUCUCGGUUACAAACUCGGCCAUACGCGUUAUGGCCUCUUCGUUUGCGGGCUGAGUCCUUGGGGGCUCCUGCCCUUCUGAAAUAUCUUCCGGUUGGGCUGCAUUGCUUUGCUCAGCACCAAUGGUGAGAGCCCUCCUGCUCUUAGAACGCGUAGGCUUCAUAUUUUGGUAUUCUCGCGCUUCCCACAGACGGCGCCAAUUGAAGAGGUCGUUUUUGUCCUGCUGGAGUGGAUCACCCGAGCUGGAGAAGACCUCUGAUCCUAGGUGGUUGACUCAGACGAGGUCACCUGCUCAAAUUGUAAGAGGGACUAAAGUCCCCGGUGUAACUCCGAAGCUUAAGUUAGUUCGGUAUUUUAAAGAGCAAUAUGCUGGAGAGCAAUAUGGCUAAUGUUACCAGAAAUUUGGCCGUCCCCCUCUCAGUAGAAGUCUUGAGUAUUUAUAGAGGAUGGACAGGGGAGAGGGACUGCUUGCACAGGUCCCUAGAGAUCUGGCAGAGUCAGCGUAUCAAAGUGACUCAAUGGACUCUGCAGAAAGGUGCGCCGGGACAGCUGUGUCAGUCGGCGCGUGUCAGAGCAGCUUUGCCAGAAAUGUCAGAGGUAUCAGAGGUGUCAGAGGUCAUGUUUCACAACUCCGGUUGUCUGGUCACCAUAAUUGACUUCGGCUAAGUAAAGGAAAACCUUAGCCGAGGCUGUAAUUAAGCCGAAGUCCUAACGCGAUGGCGAACGGCCGAGGUGGUCGGAGCCUAAGAGACAUAGGGCGGGACCCCAGCUCUGCCGACCUGGAAAUACCCUCCUCAUAUACCAUUACUAGUUAGUAGUCACCACUGCUACUGCUUCAGUUCCUUUUAUCACUUGCUUUACAUGAAUUAAGUCGAUGCUCUUCCUUGAAUAACUAGCGAUUAGUUUCGUGGUGACCUAUCUAGCCAUUUUUCUGUUUGGGUGGCAUCAAUCCUGAACACAGAAAGCUGCAAGAUGGAACAUGGUCAUGACGAAGGCGUGAAAGUCUCGGAGUUUUGCUUGAAACCAGAUCCUCUGAACUGGGGAGUGGCAGCUGAGUCACUGAUGGGAAGUCAUUUGGACGAAGUGAAGGGCAUGGUAGCUGAGUUUAGGAAGCCGGUGGUAAAGCUCGGCGGUGAGAGCUUGACCGUUGCUCAGGUGGCCGCGAUUGCCGCCAAAGGUGAUCAGGGUGUGAAGGUGGAGCUGGCGGAGGACGCAAGGGCUGGGGUGAAGGCAAGCAGCGACUGGGUGAUGGAGAGUAUGAACAAAGGCACUGAUAGUUACGGAGUUACCACUGGGUUUGGUGCCACUUCACACAGGCGGACCAAUCAAGGCGGUGCCCUUCAGAAGGAGCUUACUAGGUAAAUUUUGCCUCUGAAUUUUUACCAUAAAUUAGCUUUAGCUUCACCCUUAAAUUUUGCCUCUGAAGUUUUACCACUUUCAAGAUUGCUGCACUGGCUGUUUUUCUUCCUUAAGUUUAGUUCUUCGUGAUGAUAGUAUGGGUCGAUCCCAGCAUCGUCAUUCUUUUUUUUUUUUUUUUUUUUUUUUUGGCGUUAAUGGUGGCCACAAUUUUACUGUGCUGGGAUUGGGCUUUUGCAUUUAACCUGGAUGAUAAACUACCUGUUUGAAUUGUUACUGAAAAACUCCACUAUUUCCCCCUAAACAAAAAAAUAAAUAAAAAAGAAGACUCUCAACCACCUUUAUAUUUCAUUUGCACUAUUUCCUUUCUAAUAAAUGUUGUCACAAUAAUUUUUUUCUAAAAAUACUCCAAAACAAACAAUCCUAACUGAGAUAGCCAAAGCAAGGUUUAAACUAGAAUUUUGUGAAUGAUUUUUUUUUUUUAAAAAAAGGAUUUUUUCUGUUCCGAACUCAUUUCGACAGAUUUAUUUAUUCUCGUUAGAAGUUUUCAUCAUUAAAUAAGUUUGAAGUUAGAAAAAAGACGCUUAAUUAUCUUCUAAUAAUAUAACCGGAAAAAUUAAGAAAUUAUUAUUUUAGCCUUUCACAAACCAAUAAAUCAAGAUAAUUAAAGCAGAACAAGGGAAAAAACAAUUCUCCUGCAUGCGUAUUUUCGCCUGCUCCAAUUCAUUUGACCUUGUUGGUAAAAAAUUAUGCAGAUACUUCUGAAAAGCAAAAUUCGUUGCCAACCUACCGCCAGUGCAUGCGUGCACUCAAUAAGAAGAACAUAUACUACAGAUGAGCACCCAUAUCACUAUGAGGAAUUGUCAUUAUCUAAUCUUGAUAUUUUGAUUUUUGGCUCCACAGACAUUUCUGUCUUUGGAAGAAGAAAAAAAAAAGAUAAAGAAAAAGCGGAGAAGUGGAAGAUUAUGUAUGUAUUAGGAGGCAUAUUGGAAGCCCACAAAAAAAAAAAUUCAAAAGCAAAAUUGAUGAAAUUAACAAAGGCUACUACAAUAUUUUACCUUUUCACUUGUCCCUAUUUGUCUUAUUUACUACAGUCUAUGGUUGCCCGUUGAUCCAUCCGAAACAAAUGGAAAUUAAAAAACGAACGAAUCUGUAGAGUCGGGUGCAGGGGAAUAGAAAGGAGAAUGAUCCUGACAUGCAUGGAUUAUUGUGUAAAUUGACAGAUUUCUGAACGCGGGAAUCUUCGGAAACUGCACGGAAACUUGCCACACUCAGCAACAAGGGCAGCGAUGCUUGUAAGAAUCAACACCCUUCUUCAAGGUUAUUCCGGGAUCAGAUUCGAAAUCUUGGAAGCCAUCACCACUUUCCUUAACCACAACAUCACCCCAUGCUUGCCUCUUCGCGGUACAAUCACUGCCUCUGGUGAUCUUGUCCCCUUGUCCUACAUUGCCGGUUUACUAACCGGCCGCCCCAACUCCAAGGCCGUUGGACCCAACGGAGAAGCUCUAAACGCCGAAGAAGCAUUUCGCCUUGCUGGCCUCAGCGGUGGCUUUUUCGAGCUGCAGCCUAAAGAAGGCCUUGCUCUUGUUAACGGAACAGCAGUUGGUUCUGGCUUGGCCUCUAUUGUUCUAUUUGAAGCUAACGUGCUUGCUGUCUUAUCUGUAGUGCUGUCAGCAAUCUUUGCUGAAGUGAUGAAUGGCAAGCCCGAGUUCACCGAUCAUUUGACGCAUAAGUUGAAGCACCAUCCCGGCCAAAUUGAGGCCGCGGCUAUCAUGGAACAUAUCUUGGAUGGAAGCUCUUACGUCAAGGCUGCUCAAAAGUUGCAUGAGUUGGAUCCCCUGCAAAAGCCAAAGCUGGCCCGAUACGCUCUCAGGACAUCUCCGCAGUGGCUGGGUCCACAAAUCGAAGUUAUUCGCGCAGCAACAAAAAUGAUUGAGAGGGAGAUCAAUUCAGUUAAUGAUAACCCUCUCAUUGAUGUGUCCAGGAACAAGGCCUUACAUGGCGGCAACUUCCAGGGCACCCCCAUUGGAGUGAGCAUGGACAACGCUCGACUGGCCAUUGCAUCUAUCGGCAAACUGAUGUUUGCUCAAUUUUCCGAGCUUGUUAAUGAUUACUACAACAAUGGGUUGCCGUCCAAUCUCUCUGGAGGAAGGAAUCCAAGUUUGGACUAUGGAUUCAAGGGAGCUGAGAUUGCUAUGGCUGCAUACUGUUCUGAACUCCAGUAUUUGGGCAAUCCAGUGACCAACCAUGUCCAGAGUGCCGAGCAACACAACCAAGACGUCAACUCCUUGGGAUUAAUCUCUUCAAGAAAAACUGCAGAAGCCAUUGAUAUCUUGAAGCUCAUGUCAUCCACUUAUUUGGUGGCUCUUUGUCAAGCAAUCGAUUUGAGGUUUUUGGAAGAAAACUUGAAAAAUGCUGUUAAGAAUAUUGUCAGCCAAGUGGCAAAGCGAACUCUGACAAUUGGCGCUAAUGGAGAACUGCAUCCUUCACGGUUUUGUGACAAGGAUUUGCUCAGAGUGGUGGACCGCGAAUACGCCUUUGCCUAUGUGGACGACCCUUGCAGCGCUACCUAUCCAUUAAUGCAAAAGUUAAGGCAAGUGCUCGUGGAUCAUGCGUUGAAGAAUGGUGAUCAGGAGAAGAACGUCAACACCUCCAUCUUCCAAAAGAUUGCAGCAUUUGAAGAUGAACUGAAGGCUGUCCUACCAAAAGAAGUGGAGAGUGCCA
rnacentral:lncRNA from 1 species